UUCAUCACGAAGAUGAUGCAGGCCCCAUGUGGAGCAAUGAUUUAGGGCUCCAACUGCGGAGUUGCAGCGUCAAGCGUCAGCUUUUGACGGAGGCGGCACCUUCUGCCAUCCUAUGACGAUGACUAUCAAGUAUGAAUUUGAAGGGGUGAUAAGAUUUCAUGUUGGUUAGCCUAUCGUACUUCAUCCAAUGAAGGCAAUUUAUGCAGAUUUUGGAAGGUGGGAUUAAGUGUUUGUGUUAAUCUGUUCAUGCCAUCCAUGAUUCAUAGGUUCAUACAUACUUGCCAUUCAUUUAUGCUUUUCUUUCUUAUAAUUGGUUGUCAUUAGGCUGCUAACUUUACUUCUAGAACCAAUACUCAGCUUAUUUAUAGCAGUUAUUGUGUGUUUCUCCAAAUCUAAUAAUUUUUAUUGUUGUCUCUUGCAGGUGACGCUUUGCAUAGUGUAAGGACUAACUUAGAUAAUCCAAGCAGUGUACUCUAGAGAUGCACAAUAUAUCCGGUUUCAGACCUGACCCGACCAGGAACCGGUUCCUACGCUACCUGACCCGUGGGUACAUACCGGUUCCAGACCCAGGGCGUAGAAAUAGGAACUGAAUCGGACCCGGUCGGGAACCACCUAUACCCGGUUAAAAUCCAGGCCCGACUCGGUCAAACCGGUCAAAACCAAGUCAAAUACCCGAACGCACCCCGGAACCGUUUCCUACCCUACCCGGUUCUUGAUUUUUAAACCAAACCCGGACCCAGUUCCCGGGUAUUAAAAAACCCGUUUUGUGCAUCUAAUCGUGUGUACUCCAGGGUAUUAAAAAAACUCUGUACUCCAAAGCUGCAAUCCAAUCGAGUGUAUUGCGUAACCUUAGUUGGAAUACAAUGCCCUGGUCUACAAAUCACAGAUGCUUGCAAUGACAUGACAUGGUUCCAACACCAGUACACAGGUAGACACAUUUUUUAUACACGCUUUAACACAUCGCUAUACAAAAGUUUCUCAAAUGAUUUGCUGAAUAUUUGGACCAUACUUUCAACAUUUAGAUAGUUUUAGAUUAGCAAAUACUUUUGAAAGGCCUUUUCAAACAUUUGAAUCUUCAAGCAUCCGAAAAUUGACACACCGGCCCCCUCUCAUAGUCUGAAGGCGGGGAAACCGCAUGUGGUAGUGGUUUGUGCAUCCAAUGGGCAGUGAUUGAGUCCGAUGGUGUUACAGCCAACAAGUCGACGUCAACAGUGCUCAACGACGAAGACGUCGGUCAAGCGGCUAGGGCUCCAAUCAAGUUCCGACAAGUUUCCGGUGUAGCUGCAUACUUGGAUGUUAGCAAAGGGCUAUCACAGGUGGUAGCAAAUAGUAAGGAUGCAAAUAAACCAAGAGCUUGAUGAUACUUAAAGAUGAUGGUUUUUUGUUUGUCAAUUUUGAUACAAUAUAUUAAAAUUUUACAAUUAUUGAAAUAUCUACUUUUUUAGGUGAGAGCCCUUUUAUUCGUGUUGCAAUGCAAGGGCAUUUCUCCACUACUAAAUGCCUCACCGAACGUGUAUUGAAACUGAUGAUGGCACUACUCUUUUGUUGUUAGUUGUAGUUGCAGGCUCGCUCCAAUGCUUGGAGCUGUUACCAAUUCAUCUACUAUUAGAAAGGGUUCUUUGCUAACAAGAAUAUUAUUUAUUACUUAUGAGGACAACACUGUACCUUGAUGGCAAUUAAUCAAUGAAGAACAUGAAUACAACGCGAUUUGUGAAAUUGUCAAUGCAAUCAUGUUAUUUGCAGCCUCAUUCAUUCGGAUUAUUCCCCGAUUGUUAUGAAGUAAUUAAAUUUUAUGAAAAUUUGGUGCAUUGAGUAGCAAUAAGUUUUAUUGUCAUGAUUAAACGUGUCGAAACCUGACAGUAAGCUUUAGGCCGGUCAAUUGUUUGUGUUUUUAGCUCCUGCUUUUUAUUGUUAAUUCAGAUAAAUAACCAA